rnacentral:lncRNA from 1 species
GGUGUUCAAAGCCAUGCUUGAGAAUGAGAUGGAAGAGAGCCUGAGUGGCACCAUCAAGAUCAGUGAUGUGUCCUAUGACGCCCUUCGUGCCUUUGUCAGCUACCUCUACACGGCAGAGGUAUGCCUUGACGAGGACAUGGCGUGUAACCUCCUAGUACUGGCUGAAAAAUACCAAGUGCAGCAUCUCAAGGUCCAUUGCGAGAAGUUCUUGGUGUCAAAACUGAACUGGGAAAAUUCUGUUUUGAGCUACACCUUUGCGCACCAGCAUAAUGCGAAGCAUAUCAUUGACUCAGCAUUGACAUUGAUCACAGACAACAUGGACAAGCUUACUACCCGGGAGGAGUACGUGGAGCUAGUGGAGAAAGAUCCACGACUUGUAGUCGAAAUCUAUGAAGCUUAUCUCUCUAAACAGGUGAAUACUGCUGCCCAGAAGGAUUCUUCCGUGAAGACAUAGGUGCUCGUUAUCCCGACCUGAAUCUAGGAUUAUUCUGUGAAGAUAUGAUCAUACGAGUUUCAAAUUGGUCUUCUCGUUUCUUUGUAUAAUUAAGUAGAGGAACUAGCUAGUGAAGAUACAAAUAUCAAGUGGUAAACUGUUUGUGGUAGCACAUGGUGCAUUUUGGCGUGGGGCAUCACUUUACUAAUCUCCAAGGCCCAUGGCAUCUGCCUUUCUCGCUGUGUUUUCAUUGGCUUCUCUCUCUCUUUUGAACUUUCUUUUUUUUUGUUGAUGCAAUGGGUCACAUUGGAUACGAAACCGGCAUACGCAACACAAUCGGCUAGUCAUGAUUAAUUAUCAAACAAACCAUACCAAAAGAAAUAUUAUUAUACCGUAAUAGUAGUGACAUUUCCUCAAUGUCAUUAGCUAGGACGGGCCCACAACCUCAUUCUUAAAACUUUCCACAAGGUGCACAAUAAUUGAAGUGGCAAGACUAGUACUAGUAGAGAGUCUACUUUUGUCUUUUGGUCAAUAUAGUGGAGUUGAGGUUCGCAUUCGUGUUUGAUCAUCCACUCGGAAGAAUGCGAAGGCAACGGUUCAUUUGCAAAUCCUGCGAAGGUAGUUCCGGCGGACAUGGCGUCGGCAUGUACUGCAAGGGGUGCUACAUGGAGCUCAAGGAUAAGAUUGAAUUUCUCAAGUUGUGCUCGCCGUCGCCGACCACUUCUACUACUACGUCCCUGGCAGCUUCCUUCUCCGACGUCGUUCUGAUUGCCUUGGACUCUGACAACUGCUCUUCUGAGCCUCCGCUGCCCGUUCAGGCUCAUAAGGCCGUUCUGGUUAGUAUCAUUUUGCCAACCUUAUGCUGCUUUACUGAAUGAAGAUAUAAGCAUGUCUAAGGGACGUUUGCUGCUGCUUUUCUAGAAAGCACUUAGGCUCAUAAGUGCUUUUAAUAAAACUAGUGUUUCUCUUAAAUUUUCAAGUGUUUUCUAGAAAAAAAGCAAUUACUUGGACAAGUUGCUUUUCCAAAGGGCAUAUUUGUUAAUUUGCCCCCCAACUUGUAUAGAGUUGCCAAUUUUAUCUUUGAUAGCCGAUUAACCUCCUGAAUUUUUAUAAGUAAACAAUUUUCCCUUUGAACUCUAAUUUUAGCCAAUUAUCACCGCUGAACUUUUAUAAACAGUCAAUUUUAUCCUUGACACUAGAUUUUAAAAAAUUUCAUCCAAUUUUCCAUUCAUUUUGAUCAUACAGACAACACUUGACAACUAUAUGGGAGCAAAAAGAAUGAAAAAUUGAAUGGAUGAAAACAUGAUGAAAUUUUUUAAAAUAUAACGCUAGAGGAGAAAUUGGCUAUUUAUAAGAUUUUAGAGAGGUAAUCAACUAAAGUUAAAAUUUAGGAGGAAAAUUAGGGGAAUAUUGGUCAAUUAUAAAAGUUUAAGGAGGUAAUAGGCUACAAUUAAAGUUGAGGGGAAAAUUAGAAUCUCACUUGUCUAAAAUUAAAGUUCAAGAAAAAAUUGAAACACUUGAGAGUUUUCAUACCCAACGUAUUUAGGAGUUUUUAUUGUCGUAAAGCACUUGUAAAGCAUUAUCAGCAUUUUUAAGAUUGCUAAAAGUGUUCUUACAAUAAAAAACGUUUUUAACUAAGUUAGGUAAAAACAUUUAGAAGCACUAAACAAUUUCAGAUUUAGCCGGUUUUUCGUGUGGAUAAUCUUUGAAAGAGAAUUUAAAAACUGAACGGUUCUAUUCGAUCAACGAAUCAGGUGAACCGCUCUCCGGUGUUCAGAGCCAUGCUUGAGAAUGAAGAGAUGGAAGAAAGUCGGAGUGGUACCGUUAAGAUUGCCGAUGUGCGCUACGAUGCCCUACAAGCUUUUGUCAACUACCUCUACUCUGCUGAGACAUGCCUUAACCAGAACUUGGCAUGUGACCUCCUAAUACUGGCUGAAAAAUACCAAGUGCAGCAUCUCAAGCACUACUGCCAGAAAUUCUUGGUGUCCAAGCUCAACUGGGACAAUGCGCUUACGACCUACACCUUCGCUUGCUGCCAUAACGCGGAGGACAUCAUGGACGCGGCCUUGGAAGUGAUCACAGACAACAUGGACAAGCUCACUACCCAGUUGGAGUACGUCAAUUUGGUGGAGAAAGAUCCCCAACUCGUCAUCAAAAUCUACGAAACUUAUCUCUCCAAACAGGUUAACACUGCAGCACGUAGGAAUCCAUCAGUCCGCAGAGAUUCUUCGAGUGGGAGUGGGAUUGGGGGAGGGUCGAGCGACGGGGGAGGGAGUGGGAAUGUGAGUGUGAGUGGGGGAGAGUGGAGCGACAGGUAUUAGCUUUUCUUUCCCCUGUGAAAGUCUUUGUGAGAGGUUUCAUUCUCAUCGAUUUACGUCGGCGCCGGCCCAUGGUUUUGCUGUCUAAUUUGCUUUUGUGGUUAGUUUUUGUUUUCAGCUUUGUCUAGCUUCUCCUAAGCCUACAAUUUCCCUUCCCCUUCCCUGCAACCUUCACAAUCUCUUCCUUCCUUUUCUGGUUUUGCCUUUGUUCUCACCAUUCUGAGCCCAUUUCUCCAAUCGCCCGUUUCCUCCCUUCCCAUCCCCUCCAUCAUCUCCUCUUUUGGCUCCAUCAGCUUUAUCCUCAAGUCUUAACGAAUACCGCCUCUGUUUGCCGCGAUUUGUCGCGAAUUUAUGGGAGGGUGUGUAGAGCUUUGGCUCGGGGAUCACACGACCACCCUUGUUGGCCCCUGUUGGACUUUUCAGUUGUUCACCCUUGCCGGUGAUGUUAAGGUCUACUCCGGCGUGCCUUGUUGGUCUCGUGCUGGUCCAUGGAAUAUGAUGCGGCCUCUUUCUUCACAAUUUCAGGUUUCUUCAUGGUGUGAUCCUUUUUUAUCAUGGAGGGAGGCGGACCGUUGUGCGGAUUUUCUGGUGGCCAUCUGCAGUUUAGGAGGUCUUUUUGUGUGGUUUGUUUGUGUGCUGGUCUCCAAGGUUGGGCUUGAGCCAUUUUCUUUAUGUGUUUGUGCCCCAAUUUUUUUAUUUUUUAUUUUUUAUUUUUUUUGGUGCUUUACUUGUUUGGGCCUUUGUUGUACUUGUUUUGAUUGGUAAUGAAACUUACCUUUUAUCAGGAAAGAAAAAUAAAAAAUAAAAAAACUAGAUGGCUGUAUUUUAUUUUUUUUAAGAUAACUGUAAUUUGUCAUUAUUAUUAUGAUCUAAUGAUAUUUCUCUUUACUUGUAAAUGAGAAAUCUUGUCAAAGGCGAAUUUGAACCAUAUUAUUGUUAGCCUAUUGUGAGGUAUUAACUCACUUCUCCACUCCUUUACUAUAGAUAAUAUAGUUUGUUCAAAAAAAAAAAUUAAAAAAAAGAUGGCCGUAAUUUGAAAAAUCCAUGAUUAAAAUUUGGAUGUCAAUAAUGUUUUGAAAACUCAAUUCCUAAACUUUAAGAAAUCAGUUGGAGUACGUCGAUUUGGUGGAGAAAGAUCCCCACCUCGUCAUCAAAAUCAACGAAACUUGUCUCUCCAAACAGGUUCAUACUGCAGCAUAUCGUAAUCCUUCUUACUGGGACGUUGAUACUACUGCUGCAUCAGACUACAGAGAAGCCUCCACUGAUGACUAGAUCCGGGAACCACACAGCCCCGCCCCUUCACCGCCGGUAGAUAUUUUGCUGCCUAACUAGACGGCCGUAAUACUUUAUCGUAAUCGAAACACUGAAGCUACUCUUCAUUUCUAUGUAUAUUUAUGCAGGUCAUGGGCAAUAAGUUAAAAAAAUGAAGCGAGAUUGUUUAUUUGUUCUUGCUAAUCUUACAAAUUACACAGCAUAAAACAAUGGCAAUAAGUUAGUUGCAGUGCCUUCUCUUCAAUGGUGCGAUUUCAGGUAGAUUUCCACCCUUUUACAGAAAAAUACAUCGACUUGUUUGCACCCGAAUCCGAUCAAAAACGCUUGUCGCCGAUUAAGAUCUUCCAGCUUGCAUGGGGUCCUUCUCCGGUGUCAUGUAGCGCAGGCACCCAUCCAACGGCGCUCGUGAUUUCUUGAAGCUCAGCAAUUACAGAUACCGAGUCACGUAUGUAAACGCGUCUGCCAGGCCUCAGUAUUCGAUCCAUCUCGAGCUUGAUGGUUGAAAUAUUACACCUGUUCCCAACACAAGCAGGUUAAUUGAAAAUAUAUCUACUCUGCACCGCAUGUAGGCAGACAAACAAACAAACACAAUAGGCUAAAACUAAAGCACAAAUUUACACCUCGUUUUCUCAAUAGAGAAGAGACCGGCUGCCUGUAUCAAAUCGUAUGUUCUCGGAUAAGUGUCAAACGGCGUGUCACCUCCUAGUACUGGCUGAAAAAUACCAAGUGCAGCAUCUCAAGGUCCAUUGCGAGAAGUUCUUGGUGUCAAAACUGAACUGGGAAAAUUCCGUUUUGAGCUACACCUUUGCGCACCAGCACAAUGCGAAGCAUAUCAUUGACUCCGCAUUGACAUUGAUCACAGACAACAUGGACAAGCUUACUACCCGGG